rnacentral:rRNA from 1 species
CCUACGGGUGGCAGCAGUGAGGAAUAUUGGUCAAUGGACGCGAGCCUGAACCAGCCAAGUAGCGUGAAGGAUGACUGCCCUAUGGGUUGUAAACUUCUUUUAUAUGGGAAUAAAAUGUUUCACGUGUGGCAUUUUGUAUGUACCUUAUGAAUAAGAAUCGGCUAACUCCGUGCCAGCAGCCGCGGUAAUACGGAGGAUCCGAGCGUUAUCCGGAUUUAUUGGGUUUAAAGGGAGCGUAGGUGGGUUGUUAAGUCAGUUGUGAAAGUUUGCGGCUCAACCGUAAAAUUGCAGUUGAGACUGGCAGUCUUGAGUACAGUAGAGGUGGGCGGAAUUCGUGGUGUAGCGGUGAAAUGCUUAGAUAUCACGAAGAACUCCGAUUGCGAAGGCAGCCCACUGGACUGCGACUGACACUGAGGCUCGAAAGUGUGGGUAUCAAACAGGAUUAGAUACCCGAGUAGUC